CAGCCGCCGCGGGAAUACGUAGGUGGCAAGCGUUAUCCGGAAUUAUUGGGCGUAAAGCACGCGCAGGCGGUUUCUUAAGUCUGAUGUGAAAGCCCCCGGCUCAACCGGGGAGGGUCAUUGGAAACUGGGAAACUUGAGUGCAGAAGAGGAGAGUGGAAUUCCACGUGUAGCGGUGAAAUGCGUAGAGAUGUGGAGGAACACCAGUGGCGAAGGCGACUCUCUGGUCUGUAACUGACGCUGAGGAGCGAAAGCGUGGGGAGCGAACAGGAUUAGAUACCCGCGUAGUCCCUGUCUCUUAUAU
rnacentral:rRNA from 1 species